rnacentral:rRNA from 1 species
GUUAAAGCCGGAGGAAGGUGGGGAUGACGUCAAGUCCUCAUGGCCUUUAUGCCCAGGGCUACACACGUGCUACAAUGGGCGGUACAAAGAGAAGCAACCUCGCGAGGGUGAGCAAAUCUCAAAAAGCCGUUCUCAGUUCGGAUUGAAGUCUGCAACUCGACUUCAUGAAGUCGGAAUCGCUAGUAAUCGCGGAUCAGCAUGCCGCGGUGAAUACGUUCCCGGGCCUU